UCCGUAGGUGAACCUGCGGAGGGAUCAUUACUGAGUUUACGCUCUAUAACCCUUUGUGAACAUACCUAUAACUGUUGCUUCGGCGGGUAGGGUCUCCGCGACCCUCCCGGCCUCCCGCCUCCGGGCGGGUCGGCGCCCGCCGGAGGAUAACCAAACUCUGAUUUAACGACGUUUCUUCUGAGUGGUACAAGCAAAUAAUCAAAACUUUUAACAACGGAUCUCUUGGUUCUGGCAUCGAUGAAGAACGCAGCGAAAUGCGAUAAGUAAUGUGAAUUGCAGAAUUCAGUGAAUCAUCGAAUCUUUGAACGCACAUUGCGCCCGCCAGCAUUCUGGCGGGCAUGCCUGUUCGAGCGUCAUUUCAACCCUCAAGCUCUGCUUGGUGUUGGGGCCCUACAGCUGAUGUAGGCCCUCAAAGGUAGUGGCGGACCCUCCCGGAGCCUCCUUUGCGUAGUAACUUUACGUCUCGCACUGGGAUCCGGAGGGACUCUUGCCGUAAAACCCCCCAAUUUUCCAAAGGUUGACCUCGGAUCAGGUAGGAAUACCCGCUGAACUUAAGCAUAUCAAUAAGCGGAGGAAAUCUCUAG
rnacentral:rRNA from 1 species